rnacentral:lncRNA from 1 species
CCUUGAUUUAGUAAGCAUGGGCCAAAUAAUCAUAGCAAUCAACAGGUUGUCACAUCAACAAAUAAUAUCAAUAAUAUUUUGCUGUGCUGCUCUCCUGUUUAAGAUCUGCAGCCCUUCACAAUCCAAAUUCGAACCUGUGGAUAUCUGACCUUUUCCUUUCUUCCCCUGUGCCUAGGAGUGUGUUAUAAAGAUGCACUGUGGAGUUAUGCUAAGUCAAGAAUGGGAAGGAGGAAGAAAAGAAUAAUGUCAAGGUUUACUCAAGCCUGAGGAGUUUAAUAUAAUGGGAAAGAAAAUGAAGUUCUGACUGACACAAGUAGAGGGAGAGACCUGUGCUGAGAAAGUACAUGUUAAGGAGAUUAUCUAAGAAAUGCUUAUAUUUGGGUCUGCUGUUCACUGAUAAGCCCGGCUGCCAUCGUACUGAAACACCGCUAUGCCAACUGGAAAUAGCUGCUGCUCUGGCUGCUGUGGCCACUUCCCUGGGACCCCAUCCCAGAGAAGGUGGGGAAGAGGCGGCUUGAGUGCUGGCUAAGAAGGUGCUGCUUCUGAGUGCCGCACUCACUUCUCCACAUAUUUCACCACCCACCGAGCGUCCUUGGCCACCCCUGAGGUAGCACAGCUGUGAUGCUGCCAUCUGCCACACACAUAGCAUAUUGAAGGUCUCCCUUGUAAUUUCAUCAUGCUGUCCAUCCUCAUGUUCCUGUCCUAGUCACCGAACCAGCCAUUCUGCCCUUUACUGCUAAUCAGCUUCAUUCCCUCCCCCAGCCCUGUGUCACCUCACUGUACUUUUGGAUUUGGUCUAAGUUAUACCUGCUCAAUUUCAACACGCAGUUACAUUCUUCCUCUGCCAACUCCUCUAUCUGCUGUCUCUUGUAGCCUGACACAUUAGAUUAGUGGUUUCUAAACUUCUUUAACUAUGUCUGUCUAGCAGGAGUAAUUUU